GCAGAGGUGAGAUCUUGCUCUGUUGCCCAGGCUGGUCUUGAGCUCCUGGCCUCAAGUGGUCCUCCCAUUUUGGCCUCCCAAAGUGCUGGGAUUACAGGCACAAGCCUCUGUGCUCAGCCCUCAACUUACUCUUAUUUCUGACUGCCAUCUGUAAUGGGAUACAGGCUAAGGCCAAAAAGAACGUUCUUUAGAAAUGCAAUGAAAACCCUCAGCUUCCCUUCACCAGAUGCUCCCUACAUGAUACUCCCAGAGGCUCUAACUGCCUGCUUACUUAGAAGCUCCAGAGCCAUGACUCUCUCUCACCAGGAGAUCACCUCAAGAGACAACACUCAAUCUGCAACCUAAAGCAUGUCCACGAUGGAACUCGCUCCCACCUGGAGAGUAUCUCGAGACAAUGGCCACCUUACAACCUAGCUCUGCCCAGGAUGGCACCAGCUGGACCACUCAGUAGAUAAGGCGACACAGUGAGUCAUGUAGACCUUGCACCUGAUCGCUCCCUCCCCUGUGUGCUGCUCAUGCCAGGUUCCUGUUUAAAAGCCCUGCUUUCUGCACACAAAGGGAAGCAGUACCCUUAAAGGCAGGAGCCAGUACAUCUUCCCCUAAGCUAAGCCUUAGAAUAACGUCACUUUCUUUACACCAGACCUCACCCCUGUUCAUUGGACUCUGCAAGCAGCAAGUGACUGAACCUGAAUUUCAGUUACACAAGGAAGUCUGGGAAAGGAGGUCUAGCUGUUUAUUCAGGAAGGGAAACUUAGAUCUUAAAGAGUGGCACGUUUUUUUCACAGCACCUGAGGCCAGGAAAUGACAUGAAGUUGUGCACAUUCAUUUCGGGUAGAUUAAAUAAUGAGAUAGCUGCCACACUUGUCACCAGUACAUUUCUGGGUAAUCCUAGGCUCACCUACAUACUUUAAUUAUAUAAAAGAGCCUCUGCCCCCAGUCAAUGAGCUAUUGGAAAAUGUACUGCAUCAGUUAUUUAUUUCUGGGUAUCACUUAUUCCCAAAGCUUGAUCUGAUUCAGUUAAUUCCAGGCUCUCUGUAAUGAAAUUAAUAAAAAUACUUGUCACUCUAAGGAACUGACUAGGUACAUUGACUAAGAGGUCUGGAGACCUAUAUUUUUUUGCUUAAACUAUCUCUUUAUUCUUAAAACUGUCUUCCAUUUCAACCUUUAAACUGCUUAAUAAGCAUUUCUCUACAGUUCAAGAAGUUUCCAUGGCACUAAUUCAAAAUAGAAUCUUGCUCUGUCGCCCGGGCUGGAGUGCAGUAGUGCAAUCUCGGCUCACUGCAGCCUCUGCCUCCUGGGUUCAAGCGAAUCUCCUGCCUCAAGCCUCCUGAGAAUCUGGGACUACAGGCGUGUGCCACCAAGCCCAGAUAAGUUUUGUAUUUUUAGUAGAGAUGGGAUUUCACCAUGUUGGCCAGGCUGGUCUGGAACUCCUGACCUCAAGUGAUCCACUUGCCUUGGUCUCCCAAAGUGUUGGGAUUACAGGCGUGAGCCAUCACGCCCGGCUGGCAUAUGACCUUUUUCAUAGUAAGUUUGCCCUGCUAACUUCAUUGGUUGAUCUAGGACAAGUGGGGUUUGUUGUUUUGCAAGCUCUAAUGGUCAUUAUUUUCAAUAUACAAAACCAGCAUAACAUCUAUGACAGAUAUUCCUAUUAAUUGAGACAUUUUAUACUCAAAUUCAGAACCACUGUUUUUCUGGCUGCUUUUGACUAGAAGGUGAACAUUCCAGAUGUAGUGUUGAUGUUUGUCCCCUCCAAAUGUCACGUUGAAAUGUGACCUCCAAUGUUGGUGGUGGGGCUUAGUGGGGAGUGUUUGCAUCAUUAGGAAGGAUCCCUCAUGAAUGGCUUAGUGUCCUCCUCAUGGUAAUGAGUGAGUUCUCACUCUGUUAAUUCACAUGCUGGUGCCAUGCUUAUAUAGCCUGCAGAACCACGAGCCAAAUAAACAGCUUUUCUGUAUAAAUUACUCAGCCUCUGGUGUUCCUUUAUAACAAAGGAAAACAGAGUAACACAGUCCCCUGUGUUAGUCUGGUAACACCCUGGCUGCAUCUUUCAGCCAGUAUCCAACACAAGGCAGACUAUAUAAACUAUUUAAUAAAAACUCACCUUUCCAAGGCCAAGAGCCACCUUGAAUCUGUACCAUUUCCUCCAGGCCUUCUACUUCCAGAAGGUUGGGGCUCAUUUCAAAACCCUGGGGCUCAGACAGGUCUGUCUGCCAUUGCUUUAUCUUGCCUCUUAGCAAUUUGGUGGCACCACAUCGAGUCUCUGUACAGUAUGUCCUGAGCUGUGCCUUUGAACCUUUACCCAAGGCUACCACAUUGCACAGCUCCAGCAAGAGCUGUGCUCUCUGUGCUACGUGAAGACCCUCCAUUCAUUAUAAGAAUCCAGGAAGACCACAUCUAAAUUUGGGCUUUCAAGUCUUUGGGGAGAAGGCAUAGGUGGUUCUUGAAGCUCCAGUUCCAUCCUACAGGAAACAUUAUGUCAGCUGCAAUGGAACCAAAAGGGGGGAACUUCCAUUUUUAAUGAGAUGGUUUGAAAACCAAACCAUUACAAACAUCCGGCAGUAUGGAAUAAUGUAGGAUAAACAUUAUUUUAAAUGCAGCUUAAAGAGUGAGCUGAAUACCAGAGCAGUGAGCGAGUGAGCUGAUACUGUGACUGCCCAGAAAUCAUCAGCCUCAGUAACCUUGGGGCUUGGGUUUUAGUAUUCCUGAUAAGAUAGAAGGCAGAGUUUUCAUCUCAUGCAAGUAAAGAAGACUCCCACAGCAAGUAGGAACACUUAAAGAACAACAAUCUCAAUAAAAGAUUAGACUAGAUAAAUAUCCAUGUAAUAUCACAGUGGCAUUAUAAGAGAGCUUUUGUGUUACUUACUGCACUGGGAGUCAGAAAAAAAAGUCCUUCCUGGAAAUUGAUAACUGCACUUCAUUCAAAUUUGGGUUCAAAUUCACACUAUCAGCAUGGUUCACGAAAAGCCAAGAAAAUAAUAUGAAAAUGGUUCCAGCCAAUAAAAACCCCCAGGGCACUGAACUCAGGCUGCACGAGAUUUUCACAGAGGAUGAGCUCACAAUCAAAACCUCUAAAAUGCCUGAGGAAAUAAUCCACCAUGAUUAAGAACCAGCAGACAUAACAAACAAUAGUAUUAGAACCCAAGGACUUCAGAAAAUUGGAUAAUCUUAUAAAUUAUAAACUAAGAGUAUUUGACAUGACUAAUGUCAGAAAGAAAGGAAAUCAAAGCAUAAGAAAAUAAUGUAACAUUAUCAAAAAUGAAAUCAGGUAAAAAUAAGAAAUAAACAAAAAUUUAAAAAAUAAAAAUAAAAAUCCAGUCAGGCAGGGCAGUUCAUGCCUGCAAUCCCAGAACUUUAGGAAGUCAAAGUGGGAGAAUUGCUUGAGGCCAGGAGUUCAAGACCAGCCUAAGCAACAUAACAAGUCUCCAUCUCUAAAAUAUUUUUUUAAAUUAGCUAGCAUAGUAGCAUGCAUCUGUAGUCACAGUUACUUGGGGAUCUGAGGAAGAAGGACUGCUUAAGCUCAGGAGUUCAAGACUGCAGUGAGUGGCUGGGUGCAGUGGCUCAUGCCUGUAAUCCCAACAUUUUGGGAGGCCAAGACCGAUGGAUCACUUGAGCUCACAAGUUUGAGACCAGCCUGGGCAAUGUGGUGAAACCCCAUCUCUACUAAAAAUACAAAAAAAUAGCCAGGCAUGGUGAUGCACGCCUGUAGUCCCAGCUACUUAGGAGGCUGAGGUGGGAGAUUGGCUUGAGCCCAGGAGGUGGAGGUUGCAGUGAGCCAAGAUAGCACCGCUGUACUCCCGCCUGGACACUAGAGCCAGACCUUGUAUCAAAAAAUGGUAAUAAUAAUAGUAAAAGAAAGAAAAAAGAAAAAAAAAGAAAAAUGAAAGACUGCAGUGAGCUAUGAUUGUGUCACUGCACUCCAGCCAUGGUGACAAAGUAAGACUCUAUCUCUAAAACAAAACAAAACAGAAACAAAUUUAGUAAUUGAAAUGAAAAACUCAGCAGCUAGGUAUCACCUGAUUUAGACACAGCUGAUUAGAGAAUCAGUGAACUGGGAAGUAAAUUUGAAGAAGUCAUACAACAUGUGGCACACAGAUAAAAAAAUGCAAAAACACUCAGAAUAUGUAAAUCCAUAGAGACAUAAAGCAAAUUGCUGGUUGUCAGGUUCUAGGGGGAUGAGAGAAUGGAGACCAAUUGCUUAAUGUGUAUAAGGCUUUCUUUCAGAAUGAUGAAAAUAGUUAUUACUAGAUAGAGGUGGUGGUUACAUAACAUUGUGAUUGUACUAAAUUUCACUGAAUUUCACUUUUAAAUGGUUAAUUUUAUGUGAAUUUUUACAUCAAUAAAAUAUAUUUUUAAGAAAGAGAUAUUCGGAUAAAAUGAAAAUAUCUAAAUACAUGUAAUACAAGUUGCAGAAAGAGAAUUAAGUGAAUAAAGACAGCCAGUAUUUUUAGAGAGAUAAAUUUUCUGGAAUUUAUCAAAGACAUGAAUCUGUGGAUUCAGGAAGUACAACACCUUGUAAGAAAAAUAAACAAGUUCACAUCUGAAUAUAUCAAGAUACAAAUGCAAAACACAAGACAAAGAGAAGAUCUUAAAAGCCACCACCAGAGAGGGCAUUCUUUAAGCUAAUAGUAAAUAUAUUCUAAUAGCAGCAAUAAAAACCAAAAUGCAAUGGGAUAAUAUUUUUGGAGUGCUGAAAGAAUACAGCUCUUAAUCUAGAUUUCUACCAUCAUUGUUCAAGUGUGAGGGAAACUUAAAAAUAUUUUCAGGCUGGGCAUGGUGGCUCACGCCUGUAAUCCCAGCACUCUGGGAGGCCAAGGUGGCAGAUCUCCUAAGGUCAGGAGUUCAAGAUCAGCCUGGCCAACAUGGUGAAACCCCAUCUCUACUAAAAAUACAAAAAUUAGCCAGGUGUGGUGGCACACACCUGUAAUCCCAGCUACUCGGGAGGCUGAGGCAGAAGAAUCACUUGAACCCAGGAGACAGAGGUUGCAAUGAGCUGAGAUCAUACCACUGCACUCCAGCCUGGGUGACAGAGCAAAAUUCCGUCUCAAAAAAAAAAAAAGAAAAAAUAUAUAUAUUUUAAGACAAACCAAGACCGAGAGUAUUUAGCCCAUUAACUCUCACUGAAUGAGCACUUAAAGGAUUUCUUUAAAUUCUUUUGAUUUCUUUAAAUGUCGGAAGAAACAAACCCAGAAGAAACAAACAAGAUGUAAAAGCAAUGGUAAGCAAUGAAACUGGUAAGCAUUCAGAAAAAUCUAAAUAAGGAACAGCUAUACAAGAAUGAUAACAGUGUUUCGGAAUGAGGUACAAAAGUGAAAUAAAAUACUAGAUAACAAUGACAUGUUUGAUCGAGGAGAGUUGGAGGGAUAGGGAGUUAAACAUUCCAAGAACUGUGUAUUGUGCAAGAGAAAGGCAGAAAGAACAACUGAGUAAAGUCGGUGGCUCACAACUGUAAUCCCAGCACUUUGGGAGGCUGAGGUGGUGGAUCAACUGAGGUCAGGAGUUCGAGACCAGCCUAACCAACAUGGCGAAACCCCAUCUCUACUAAAAAUACAAAAAUUAGCCAGGUGUCAUGGUACACACCUGUAAUCCCCAUUACUCAAGAGGCUGAGGCAUGGGAAUCGCUUCACCCCUGGGAGGUGGAGGUUGCAGUGAGCUGAGAUUGUGCCACUGCACUCCAGCCUGGGCAACAGAGCGAGACUCUGUCUCAAAAAAAAAAAAAAAAAAAAAAAAAAACAAGUAAAGAAUUUGUUAAUUCAGGAACAAAGUUAAAAAUUGAAAAGUAGCCACAGAGCCACAGAAGAAUAGAAGUAGAAUAACAGAAUAUAUACCUUCCCAAGAAGCAGUCAAGUAAGUAAGAAAAGGAAGAAGAAAACAUAAUCAUUCCAGUAGAAAGCAGAAAAGAACAAAAUAAGAAAAAAAGAAAAUGUAUAUAUAUAGUAAACAGAAAACACAAAAUAAUAUGGUAGAAAUAAAGUGUUUAAAUUACAAUAAAUGUGGGUUAUAUAAAAUAUACACUGAAUUAUAACAAUAUAUAAAAUAUAAAUAGAUUAAACUUAUGUGUUCAAUUUAAUUCAAUUCAUGGAAAAGGAGGCAACCCACAAAAGAUUUAAUACAACUGAUUAUAAACAUAUGAAAAUAAUUCUCUUCUAAUUAAAGAAAAAAUGAAUUCACAUACAGAUUUUUAAAUAACAAUCUUUAGUGCUGAAGGAAGUACAUUGUCAUCUUUUCAAUGUUGACUGUAAAGUGAAAUGGUGCAAAUUUUCCAGAGCACAGUUUGCAAAAUGGACCAAAACUUUUAAAUAUGCACUCCCAGCAAUUAUACUUGGAGGAAAUACUGAUAUGUGUGCAGAAAUUUGUCUACAAGGAUGUUCUAAUGAAUUAUUUAUAGUAUCAGAAACCUGAGACCUGAAUAUCCCACAAUUAAGAGAGUUGUUAAAUUACUCCUCAUGCUAUUGCUCAUAUUACUAAUAUUAGUGGUAAAUGAUAAUAUUUAUUAAGAGUCCACUACGUGCCAGGCGAUGUUCUAAACACUUUACCGAUUAACAUAUUUUAAUCUCCAUUACAACAAUGUGAGAUAGAUAUUAUCUUUCUCAUUUUAGAGAUAAGGAAACUCAUUAAGUAAAUAAUGGGAUUAACAUUUUUAAAUUAAAAAAGAGAAAGAAAAGAAAACUAAAAGUACACGGAAAUUAGUAAUUUGCCUGAAGUCACCUAACGAUCAAAUAGAAGAGCCAAGAGCCACCAUUUGAUCUGAUGGAGUUAGUCUCCAGAACCACAUGUCACAUGCAUUGGUUAGGUUAUGGAGGCAUAAAACACAUGUUCUAAGAAACACUGUGUUUUAAUAACACUAACCAUGUGAAACAAUACGUAUCAUACAUCCUAAUAUUGUAAAAACACACAUGUAUGCUCGUAUAAAAGUCAUAUUUAUACACAGGCAUAUUUAGGCACAAGCACGAAAGCGUCAUACACUAAAAUAUGCAUGAUCUCUGCCCUGGGUACCAGGAUUAUGGGUAACUUUCUCCUUUGUGCUUUAGUUUUUAUUUUCACAAGGAACACACAUUACUCCUGAGAUUUGAAACAAAUAACACACAAUUUCAAAAGUAAAGAAAUCGAUGUAGCUGGAUGGGGGUGGGUGGGGGUGGAAGUCAGGGUCAGAAGGAAGGAGAUGGUCUUGGCUGGGAAUGGGGAGAGGUUAGUCAAAGGGUACAAAAUUUCAGUUAGACUGAAUGAAAGAGUUCUGGAGAUUUAUUGUACAGCAUGAAGACUACAGUUAAUAACAAUGUAGCUAAUGUAGCCUAUACUUGAAAAUUACUGAGAGUAGAUCUUUAAUGUUCUCCUCACAAAAAAAAGUACCUUAUUAAGGCCAUGUGUGGUGGCUCAUGCCUAUAAUCCCAGCACUUUGGGAGGCCAAGCAGGGAGGAUCAUUUGAGCCCAGGAGUUCAAGACCAGCCUGGGCAACAUAGUGAAACACCAUCUCUUCAAAAAGUAAAAAAAUUAGCCUCGCAUGCUGGUGCAUACCUGUGGUCCCUGCUGCUCUGGAAGCUGAGGUGGGAAGAUCACUUGAGCCCAGAAGGUCAAGGCUGCAGUGAGCCAUGACCGUGCCACUGCACUCCAGCCUGAGUGACAGAGGGAGACCAUGCCUCAAAAGUAAAAAUAAAAAAUAAAUUAUUUUUUAAAAUGAUAAAUAUGUUAGGGAAUGGAUAUGUACAUUAGCUGAAUUUAGCCAUUUUACAAUGUAUGUGUAGUUCAAAACAUCAUAUUAUGUACUGUAACAUAUACAAUUUUUGUCAGUUAU
rnacentral:lncRNA from 1 species